AUACGGAGGAUCCGAGCGUUAUCCGGAUUUAUUGGGUUUAAAGGGAGCGUAGGUGGACAGUUAAGUCAGUUGUGAAAGUUUGCGGCUCAACCGUAAAAUUGCAGUUGAUACUGGCUGUCUUGAGUACAGUAGAGGUGGGCGGAAUUCGUGGUGUAGCGGUGAAAUGCUUAGAUAUCACGAAGAACUCCGAUUGCGAAGGCAGCUCACUGGACUGCAACUGACACUGAUGCUCGAAAGUGUGGGUAUCAAACAGGAUUAGAUACCCUGGUAGUCCACACAGUAAACGAUGAAUACUCGCUGUUUGCGAUAUACAGUAAGCGGCCAAGCGAAAGCAUUAAGUACUCCACCUGGGGAGUACGCCGGCAACGGUGAAACUCAAAGGAAUUGACGGGG
rnacentral:rRNA from 1 species